AUGAGCGAACCGAGUCAGGAGCAGAGUAACAUGGACGUUGACGAAAACAAUGCAACACCUCCAAUUGAGGCGGGAAUGGAGGUUAAUUCUGCAUCCGAUAAAGGUCCUUCGACGUCGAUGAGCCCUAAUAGCGCCGUGCGUGUUAUGGCAUCUUCGGGAACGGUUGGAUCCGUCUCCGUUAGUUUGCACCCACUUGUUAUUAUGAACAUUAGCGAGCACUGGACGCGGCUUCGAGCCCAGGCAGGCACGGAUCAAUUAGUUUAUGGAGCUCUCAUUGGCAAGCAAAAAGGAAGAAACAUCGAAAUCAUGAAUUCCUUUGAGCUGCUAUUUACGUGCUUUGGAGACGACGUUAUCAUCGACAUGGAUUAUUAUACCGUAAAGGAGGAACAGUUCAAACAAGUAUUCAGUGAAAUGGACUUUCUUGGCUGGUAUACUACUGGAGAUUUACCUAACGAGUGGGACAUUAGAGUUCACAAACAAUUAUGUGGAAUUAAUGAAAGUCCUGUACUAUUAAAAUUAGAUCCCAGGUGUAAAAACUCGGAUCAAUUAUCUGUUUCAAUGUACGAAUCGGUGAUCGAUCUAGUUGCUGGAGAAGCCACUAUGUUAUUUGUUCCAUUAACGUAUACAUUAGCUACAGAAGAGGCAGAAAGAAUUGGAGUCGAUCAUGUCGCGAGAAUGUGUAGCAACGAUCAAGGAGGAAGUUCUUUAGUGGCUGAACAUCUAAUGGCACAACACAGUGCUAUAAAAAUGUUACAUUCAAGAGUAAAACUCGUUUUAAGAUAUGUACAAGCGGUACAAACUGGGGAAUUAAAAGGAAACCAUGAGAUCCUAAGAGCAGCAUGUUCUUUAGGGCAUCGUUUACCCGUUCUCAAUAGUCCCAAGUUUAGAUCUGAUUUUUAUAAUCAAUGUAACGACUUUGGUCUCAUGACAUACCUAGGCAUAAUAACCAAAGGUUGCAAUGAUAUAAAUCAAUUUGCAAACAAAUUUAACAUUGUAUAUGAUAGACAAGUGAUGGGUCGACGUUUGCGGAGUCUUUUCUUUUGAUAGGUCAAUACACUGUUGUUUCUUUGUAACGUUAUAUUUUUUUAAUCGUGCACUACUGACGCCUUUAACCUUGGAGAGCCUGCCACAACGGACGUGAUUAAACGCAUGUGUUACAGGAGUUGGAACAAAUCGGAAUACAAUUGGCACGCGAUGUUAAUAAAAGCUGUGAUGUACGCUUCAAAGUAUUUCGCCAGUAGGAAUGAAAGUCGUAAAUGAUACGAGACGUGGCCAUUUAAUUAAAAGAUGACCGACAAUUUCCGCUCUAUAGAUGUGUCCAAACGGAUCUUUUGCCUUGGUUUCGAUUACAAGAUCUUUAUUGAUUUGAUGUAAUAAAAAUUGGACGUCGAGGUGCUUAAUCGUUAUCGUCGAGUUAAAACUACAAGUGGAUUAAACCGUUGCACUGAGUUUAGUGAGAUAUGAAUUUAUUGGUUUCAUUUAUUGUGUAUGUAGAGUGGCGGAUCGAGUACCUUCCCUGCUAACGUGGCAUCGCCGGUGUAACAAGGGAAGGCAUUCGUGUCCACCAGUGGAUAUACUACAUUUUGUUCGAUUUACGCCGAGCUUACAACAUUCCUAGUGCAACAGGUUUCAACUUGGAUUUUAUCCAUUCAACUUUUGUUGCGUGAUGUUUGCCAAAUGGAAGACCUCGUGUCAAAGUGGCCAAUCGCGUAUUCUUACAGGCCACUAUACGAUAUCCUAGAAACGUUAAUUUGCGACAUUGAAUCGCUCUCUACCAAAGCUCAUUUCAUGUAUAGAAGCGAUCGCCUACGAAUGGCGUCGAUUGUAAAAAAAAAAAAAAAGCUGCAUACAAGUAUCGUUAUAAAACACUAGCGGCUCAAAAUCUUACCUAAAAUUCUACUAAAUCGAUCGUGCAUUUAUCGCCGAUACGUACAUAUAUAAUGCCAUAAAUAUUUCUGUACAAAAUAUAGUGGGUAUAUUGUG